rnacentral:tRNA from 1 species
GUAGGUGUAGCUCACUAGUAGGGCUCUUGCCUGGUGCUUGCAAGGUCCUGGGUUUGAUUCCCAGCACUCACU